UUGAAGGGUUGGCAGUGGAGGUGAAGUUAUCUUGCUGGAGAGCUCUGCCUACCUGCGGCCUUCUGAAAAAAAGUGCAAAGCUGUCUCCCAGUCAAAGAGAAAUUGGAACGGCUGCUGGCAUGUUGAAGUGUUGCACUGGAAGAGGCAUUCUGCAGGCAUAGCCAAGGUGGCAAGAACAUGGAAAAGGAUGCUGUUCUGCAUGAUGUCAAUGGAGAUAUCCAGUACUGGGACAAAACCACAAAAGUAAAGCACUGCAAAACCAGAAUAUCGAGCAGGAAGAUCUUCAGCUGAUAAUGCCCUCUUUGCUCAGUACGAAGACAGCAUUUGCCUUGAUGAAUGUGUUACCUAUGGAAAAGGCUCCACCUUUCUGCUGACAUCUGAGGCCUGACAGGCAAGUUAAACGUUUAAAAACUGCACAACAUUGUUUAUAUUUUGCAGCGGAUCUGUUGAAUAGCAGAUUCCUAGAAAAAUGAAGCAUUGUUCAGCCUUAGAUUACUUGAGCUUGCCAGAUAAAUUCAGCUGGGAAAAGAAGGCAAGACUAAGGGAAGAAUCCAACAGGCCAGCAUUUAGGGUAUUCUGAUGUUUGUUGCUUAACCCACUAGACUGUACAGGAUGUUGGCUUUCAUUGCUCUUAAGUUCUGCUCUUGAAACAGUCUCUCUACAAAUAAACAAGCAGAGUUCUAGGACCUGCUUCCCAUGCUGUUUCAGCUAAUUCUUCCUCGUGUGCGAUCUGAUCACAGACUGCUUGGGUUUGUCUGGAUCCAGAGCACAAAUCUUGCAGUUACAUUUUAAGGGUUCUCACCUAUAAAGUGUAAUAUUCAAUUUGUAGUUUCUGCUCCAGUAUAUGUUUGAUUGCCUAAGAAAAAAUGGAAAUAUUAUAAUCCCUUAGACUAACAAAAAUGAUGAUUAGAACACUUCAGUGAAGGUGCAAGCUCUCCUCAGGCAUUCAGUCUCAGUCACAGAAAGAAACUGUCAUGCAAUUGGUUGGAGCUGUGAAUCUGUCUCAUUUUAAAAUAAUCCUUCAAGAUGAGUCAUUCUUUCUUCAACCCCCACUGUAACUUAACUCCAAGAGUAGGAAAAAAAGAAAACCAGCUGUAACUUCCACUCCUUUCUUCCUUCUCAGUCUAAAUCCCCUCACAAACUCCAGAGGAGCACUUAUGAGUGGCCAUUGGCUCAGCCUUUUCCCAUCUGAUAUUCCAAAGAUGAAAUGGCAAUUAGCCUUUGCCUGCUAGGCUAAUUGACCUUUAGCCCUUGUCGUUUCAGUUGAUUACCAAGGCAGUCUAGUUGGCUGUUUCUCAAAGCCUUAUGAAGUCUUAAGAUAAUAGGAGGCUUCAGGCUGAAACAUGUGUGAAAAGACAGUUUUUCCCCACUCUCCUGUUUUUAUCACCUAUACCAGUUCUUUAGCUAAUCACUGUGUCAUAGAAAUUGGUCCUGAUUCUCCCAUAUCCUGAGGGUGUGAACUGCUGUGCGGGGGACUAAGAAAGACUACUAACUUGACAACUCUGGCAUUUCCUUUACUGUUAGUUCCUAAAAUGAACUUUUCACAUUUCAUACCUCUCUCUA